rnacentral:lncRNA from 1 species
AAACUUUAAAGCAUCAAUAAUACAAAUAGGUGGUAAAAUAAUUCAUUGCAGUCAAUCUGAUAUAGAAUGAAUUGCCCUUACUAACACGUGAGCUACUUCAUUCGCAUAUCUACGGACAAAAAGCAUUUGACCAUUACUUAUCUAUGUGAUUAGAGAUUUAGCAUCAUGAAUAACGGACCCACCCAAAAUAACUAACAUCUCCAUUACUGUUAGCAUUGAUAGCUUCUUUUAUCACCAAUUGGGCAUCUAAUUCAACUUGCACAUUUUUCCAUCCAUUGUCUUUAAAGCAACUUAAACUUCUCGAAUUGCCACAACUUCGGCUACCUUAGGAUUAAAAUGGCCAACUAUCUUUUUACUUGGAAUAUACCAACAGCGCCUUCACAAAUUUUAAUUGCAAAAUAAAAUAUAAUAAUACUCUAUGUAAUUUGACUGAUCUUCUUAGAAUUUUCUUUGAGAUUUUCUUUCAUCCUCUCCUUUCCCUGCUCAUAUGCCAUCUAAGGCAUAAUUGAAAAUUUCGUGAAAUUCAAGAGUUGUAGCCAUUUUAAGUUUCUUGCAAGGAUUGAAUUGUACUGCAAAUAUGAAUUACACUGCAAAUAUGAUGCACAAGCAAUUUUAAAAAAGUUAGAACAAACGAAAAGUACCUAAGCAACCGGCAUAAGCAAAUAUUACUUAAAAUGGAAAAAAAAAAAAAAAAAAAAAAAAAAAAACGCAAACGCACUUACUUGAUUAACAGCAGGAGAGAUCUCUGCUAUACCAAGAAUAUCUGAAAGCUUCUUACAGACGCUAAUUAAUUUGGUAACCCUAGUUUUUGACACUCUUCCAUUGCUGCCCUUACCCCUUUCUCAUUGAUCCAAUUGGAGAGCCCUGCACAACAAUAAAAUAAUUCAUAGCUGGCAUGCUCAAUUUGUCAAUAGUUAGAAACCAAAGACUUGAAAGUCGGACAUCCUUAAUCGCAUUACUCAGUUUGCCAAUACAAGAAAUGACAGCUCAA